AUCGCUUCUCGGCCUUUUGGCUAAGAUCAAGUGUAGUAUCAAGUGCAUUAUACUCAUAAGUUGUGUAUCUCCU
rnacentral:snRNA from 1 species